GUGAGGAAUUUUCCGCAAUGGGCGAAAGCCUGACGGAGCAAUGCCGCGUGAAGGAUGAAGGCCUAUGGGUUGUAAACUUCUUUUCUCAGAAAAGAAUUAUGACGGUAUCUGCGGAAUAAGCAUCGGCUAACUCUGUGCCAGCAGCCGCGGUAAGACAGAGGAUGCAAGCGUUAUCCGGAAUGAUUUGGCGUAAAGCGUCUGUAGGUUGUUUAAAAAGUAUUCUGUCAAAGAUUAGGGCUUAACCCUAGAUAGGCAGAAUAAACUUUUAAGCUAGAGGUUGGUAGAGGCAGAGGGAAUUCCCGGUGGAGCGGUGAAAUGCGUAGAUAUCGGGAGGAACACCAAAGGCGAAGGCACUCUGCUGGGCCAAUACUAACACUGAGAGACGAAAGCGAGGGGAGCAAAUGGGAUUAGAAACCCUUGUAGUCC
rnacentral:rRNA from 1 species